rnacentral:misc_RNA from 1 species
UUUCUUCCAACCCAUCAUCCAUGCCGAUUCCUCUCUGUUAUGGACGACGAUAAUAAUCAACCCAAACCCAAGUCCAAAACAACUCUCUUUCUGGGUUGUUUUGGAUUUUCUGGCAAACAAGUUUCCCGGAAAAAAACUGAAAAAAUUGUACUAUCUGAUCACAAGCAUAAGUGGUUUUCUCGAUCAAGAACGUUUCUCUUAAAACAAUCAGGCACCAAAACCGUUCCAGUCGAGUACUCUGCUAUAUCUGAGAAACUACAGACUACGUUAAAGAAGUCAUCAUCAAAACCCAAGAAGAAGAACUCCUCCUCCGAUCAUGAUAUCCCCUCAAAACGUAAAACUCCGGCAUCCCAAGAUAAGUUUCCGGCAACUAAUCCUAAAGUUGAUACUACUUCAGAUCAAGCUUCCGAAGACAGUCCCCACAAGACAAACCACAGUUCUGAACAGAACAUCAUCCUUGAAAAUGGUAAACUUUUGAAUUCUCCUAAACAGUUGUCCUUCCGCCGGAAAAUAGACUCCUCAAGAAUUUGCUCCUGCAGCCAGCCCGGUUCACCCAAUCCCAGAACCCAUAAAGCCCACCC